rnacentral:rRNA from 1 species
UAGGGAAUCUUCCGCAAUGGACGCAAGUCUGACGGAGCAACGCCGCGUGAGUGAAGAAGGAUUUCGGUUCGUAAAACUCUGUUGUUAGAGAAGAACAGCGCAUAGAGUAACUGUUAUGCGUGUGACGGUAUCUAACCAGAAAGCCACGGCUAACUACGUGCCAGCAGCCGCGGUAAAACAUAGGGGGCAAGCGUUGUCCGGAAUCACUGGGCGUAAAGGGCGCGCAGGCGGUCUGUUAAGUCAGAUGUGAAAGGUUAGGGCUCAACCCUGAACGUGCAUCUGAUACUGGCAGACUUGAGUAUGGAAGAGGUAAGUGGAAUUCCUAGUGUAGCGGUGAAAUGCGUAGAUAUUAGGAGGAACACCAGUGGCGAAGGCGACUUACUGGGCCAUAACUGACGCUGAGGCGCGAAAGCGUGGGGAGCAAACAGG